rnacentral:rRNA from 1 species
UACGUAGGUGGCAAGCGUUGUCCGGAUUUACUGGGCGUAAAGAGCGCGCAGGCGGUCGUUCAAGUCGCGUGUGAAAGCCCCCGGCUCAACUGGGGAGGGUCACGCGAUACUGAUCGACUCGAAGGCAGGAGAGGGAUGUGGAAUUCCCGGUGUAGUGGUGAAAUGCGUAGAUAUCGGGAGGAACACCAGUGGCGAAGGCGACUUCCUGGCCUGUUCUUGACGCUGAGGCGCGAAAGCUAGGGGAGCAAACGGG